rnacentral:rRNA from 1 species
GACGAACGCUGGCGGCGUGCCUAAUACAUGCAAGUUGAGCGAUGAAGAUUGGUGCUUGCACCAAUUUGAAGAGCAGCGAACGGGUGAGUAACGCGUGGGGAAUCUGCCUUUGAGCGGGGGACAACAUUUGGAAACGAAUGCUAAUACCGCAUAACAACUUUAAACAUAAGUUUUAAGUUUGAAAGAUGCAAUUGCAUCACUCAAAGAUGAUCCCGCGUUGUAUUAGCUAGUUGGUGAGGUAAAGGCUCACCAAGGCGAUGAUACAUAGCCGACCUGAGAGGGUGAUCGGCCACAUUGGGACUGAGACACGGCCCAAACUCCUACGGGAGGCAGCAGUAGGUAAUCUUCGGCAAUGGACGAAAGUCUGACCGAGCAACGCCGCGUGAGUGAAGAAGGUUUUCGGAUCGUAAAACUCUGUUGGUAGAGAAGAACGUUGGUGAGAGUGGAAAGCUCAUCAAGUGACGGUAACUACCCAGAAAGGGACGGCUAACUACGUG